ACCAUGCACCUGCGCGAGAAUUUAUGGCAGAAGUUUUCUUUCUUAUUCCCUCUGUAUUUCACACAGUCACCCACGCACACACACGCACACACAGACGAUUGCAGUUGCAGGCGCUUGCAGAGGUAAAGUCGCGCAGUCUGCCCGGUGCCGUGGCUGUAUGUGUCCAACUUGUUGCUGCGGCGUGGCAUGUCUCUGGAGCACGAGAUAUAUUUCGCCCACGCUGACGACACAGACACAACCACAGAGAGAGAGAGAGAGAGAGAGAGAGAGAGAGAGAGAGAGAGAGAGAGAGAGAGCGCAAGACAUGGUGAUACUGCGAAUAGAAAUGCUCUGUUUGCGCGCGACACUUGGCCUACUCACGUCGUACGGGACUAAUCGGCUUCCCUAACACCGGAAACCGGGCAGGUAGGCAGCGCGCGGCUCACCUCACCUCAUCUCACGGGUUCUUCUUCUGGUACCCGGCAGCGUUCUAGGCUAUAUCACGCGCUGGGUUUUCGUGAUGCUGGUCAGCGCGUGAGGUCUCUCACUUACAAACCAACAUGACCACGACCGCCAAUCAGCGCUCCGGCUGGGGUGAAGGACAGGCCUCUCCACCAAUCCGGUGCGAGCGUUGCGGUGGUGUCUGCAGGGGGGAGGUGGUGCGCGUCCACAGCUCUCACUUUCACCUCGGAUGCUUCACCUGCCAUGUGUGUGCGCGUGACCUGUCGCGCGGGGGGUUCUACCGUAAGAGUGGCGAGUACCUGUG